AGCCGCCACUACUACACUUAUUAGACAUGGAGAAACGGGAACGUCGUCGUUUUCUUCUUCUCUGAUAAGUCUUCUGACACGAUUUGUUUUGGCUUCAUCAAACAAAAAUCAAUAGAUAAGAGGUUCACGGCGUUUUAAAUUUAACGGUGUAGAGAUGCAUCUCUUCUUUAACAUUGACAGAUCUUUAUCUAAACGGCGUUGAUCUGACCGUUAUAAAUGCUAUAGACAGGACAUAACGUUACGUUCCCUAGAGCCUGUGGUUUCUUCUUUCUUUCUUCUGUCGCCGUCUUGUCAACGGCACCAGUUAUAUAAUCCGACGGCGUUUAUAGCAUCGUCGUCACGUGAUGGGGAGAAAAGAGGAAUAAGAAGACAAGGAGAGAAGUAAAUGGGCUUUAAUUAGAAGUAGGGCCUAUUUUUCUAAUUGGCCCGUAUAGAAAGUCUGUCUGUGUCCUUUUCCUAAAGAGACAAAUUUGCCCCUUGUGGUUUUUUUGGCUUUAACUUCCAAGUCAACGCUCUUUCUUGUAUUUUGUCUUCUCACUUCUCGUUCAUUCAUACACUCCACUCACCGGUCUGUCACCAUACAGACCUUCUGCUUCAAGGUCCCCACGCUCUAUGUUCAUAUUUUACCUUUGUUUCGUUCGUGUGACUCUCUUGAAAACA